UACGGAGGGUGCGAGCGUUGUCCGGAAUCACUGGGCGUAAAGAGCUCGUAGGCGGUGUGUCGCGUCGGCCGUGAAAACCUGCAGCUUAACUGUGGGCGUGCGGUCGAUACGGGCAUCACUGGAGUUCGGCAGGGGAGACUGGAAUUCCUGGUGUAGCGGUGAAAAUGCGCAGAUAUCAGGAGGAACACCGGUGGCGAAGGGCGGGGUCUC
rnacentral:rRNA from 1 species